CUGCUGUGAUGGGAAGAUUUUUCGUCAACAGCAUUUCACACAGUGAAUGUUGAUACGUCUGGGCUGAGCAG
ensembl:snoRNA